AGCCCAAUAACUCAGUGGUUAGAGUGUCGUUCUUAUAUGGGGAAUCUGGUGCAAAUCAGCUUCAUGUGCAGGAAAUGCGAAGGCCGCGGGUUCGAAUCCCGCUUGGACUA
rnacentral:tRNA from 1 species